rnacentral:rRNA from 1 species
ACAGCAGUAGCCGCGGUAAUACGGAGGGAGCUAGCGUUGUUCGGAAUUACUGGGCGUAAAGCGCGCGUAGGCGGUUACUCAAGUCAGAGGUGAAAGCCCGGGGCUCAACCCCGGAACUGCCUUUGAUACUGGGUGUCUUGAGUUCGGGAGAGGUGAGUGGAACUGCGAGUGUAGAGGUGAAAUUCGUAGAUAUUCGCAAGAACACCAGUGGCGAAGGCGGCUCACUGGCCCGAUACUGACGCUGAGGUGCGAAAGCGUGGGGAGCAAACAGGAUUAGAUACCCCCGUAGUCCCUGUCUCUUAUAA